GGUGUCACCUCUCCUGGAC
rnacentral:miRNA from 1 species